rnacentral:rRNA from 1 species
AUUGAACGCUGGCGGCAUGCCUUACACAUGCAAGUCGAACGGUAACGGGUCCUUCGGGAUGCCGACGAGUGGCGAACGGGUGAGUAAUAUAUCGGAACGUGCCCAGUAGUGGGGGAUAACUGCUCGAAAGAGCAGCUAAUACCGCAUACGACCUGAGGGUGAAAGGGGGGGAUCGCAAGACCUCUCGCUAUUGGAGCGGCCGAUAUCAGAUUAGCUAGUUGGUGGGGUAAAGGCCUACCAAGGCAACGAUCUGUAGUUGGUCUGAGAGGACGACCAGCCACACUGGGACUGAGAAACGGCCCAGACUCCUACGGGAGGCAGCAGUGGGGAAUUUUGGACAAUGGGCGCAAGCCUGAUCCAGCAAUGCCGCGUGCAGGAAGAAGGCCUUCGGGUUGUAAACUGCUUUUGUCGGGGAAGAAAUCUUCUGGGCUAAUACCCCGGGAGGAUGACGGUACCUGAAGAAUAAGCACCGGCUAACUACGUGCCAGCCGCCGCGGUAA